rnacentral:lncRNA from 1 species
GUCAAUAGAGGUGCAUCAAAGCUGGGACCGAGAGACUGAAAAACAGAUUCAAUCUCAAGGCCAUUAGACUGCUAAACAGCCAUCUCCAGCACAUCAGAGGCUGCUGCCUAUAGACAUAGAUUAGGAAUCACUGGCCACUUUAAGGAAAUGAAACACUAGCCACUUUAAUAAUGUCUCCAUAUCUUGCAUUACUCAUCUCAUAUGUAUAAACUGUACUCUAUACUAUUCUACAGUAUCUUAGUAACUUUAAUUGUGUGUAUAUUUUGCAUCACCCAUCUCAUAUGUAUAUACUGUACUCUAUACUAUGCCACUGUAUCUUAGUCCAAUGCCGCUCUGACCAUAUAUGUAUAUAUAUAUUCUUAAUCCAUUCCUAACUUAGAUUUACGUGUAUUUUGGGUAUAUGUUGUGAAACUGUUGGAUAUUACUUGUCAGAUAUUACUGCACUGUCGGAGCUAGAAGCAUUUCGCAACACCCGCAAUAACAUCUGCUAAACACGUGUAUGUGACCAAUACAUUUUAUUUUAUUUUAUUUGAGCUACCUUGGAAGCCAACUCUCUAACGUUUAACCAUAAAGCCAAGGGGUUUCAUUUUACUAAGAGCAUUGUACCUAAGUCGAGGAGGGGUUUGGCAGAGGAGGAAAACUUGGAAGACCAGCAUGACUGGGUGGCAGAAGAGUGGGUAGAGGUAGGGUGAGAACAGACAGGGAAGACCCGCACAGGGUAAUCUUGAGGUCAGUGAUUGAGGAGGAGGAGCCAAGAGGGGUCAGGCUCUGAACCAAAUAAUAGCCAAUAUUGUAAACCGCUAACCUCAUACUUUGAGAUACAAUCUGAUUGAAAUAAAUAUUUGAUAACUUUUACUGUCAUUUUUUGUGCAGGUAAAAUUAAUGAGAGGCACCUGAAACCGUUUCUCUCUCUCCAUCCCUCUUUCCAUCCAGGUCCACUGACACUAAUAUGUGCUUGUGAAGUUAUUCUCUGCUCAGCUGACAGAUACAGGAGUCCAUUCCAUUCCAAAUAGGUUACCUUGGCUCUCCUCUAUGCACAGCACUCUGGGGAUUCCUGCAGUUGUUCUCAGAAGACAGGUCAGUGUGUGUAGAGAGAACACGUUUGACCAGGUAGUCAGGCUUCUACUUCAUCGGCCUGGACCAGUACACCAAAGAGGCGGAGGACGCCAAGUUUGGACCAAUUAUGCUGAUGCCCCACUGUAAGAACCUGGAGAUCUGUACUGGUUCUGAGGGAGGUGACGUGGCCACAAACAGUGCCUGAGACAUUCCGGCGCCCGGGUCACCUUCCGGCGACUGGGACACCUUCUAGUGCUACUGUUGACUAGAGCAGGGGGUUCCCAAACUUUUUCACUUGGGGCCCCCCUUCCAGCAUUGGGGAACAUCCCACUCCCGCAGGCGUGCACACACACCAUGUCUAUUUCUAUGGACACAAGCACUGUUCAUGACACAAACUGUUCACACCCUUCUUGUUGUUGGAGAGAAUUUUGCAGCUGACAUGGGCUAGUUCAUCUGGACACUUCUGACAAGUUAUAAAUAGCUCUCUAAGGUGUCGUCCAUCUUCCUUAUUAUCCCCUUGGUAUUUAUAUCUGUGUUCUCUGUUUGUCUGUUGCC